rnacentral:lncRNA from 1 species
AAACGUCACCAGCAAGAUCUUGUCCAAGGUCCUUGAGUACUGCAAGAAGCAUGUCGAUGCUGCUGCCGACAAGGAAAAGACUCCCGAUGACGAACUCAAGGCUUGGGAUGCUGAUUUUGUCAAGGUUGACCAAAAUACCCUCUUUGACCUCAUCCUGGUCAGUUUCCCCUCUUUUUCCCUAAUUCCUUUUUCCGUUCACAAUGCUGUUACUUUUAGAGCUGUUUGGGUUAAUUGAAAUCGUCUGCUCAUCUGUUUAUUGCUCUACUGUUACCGGACAUCGCUUUUUUCCCUAGCGUUUUUUGAAUCAGUUUGCACGAUCCCAAUCAGGAGGCGUAUGGUGAAUAAAUUCCCAUUGAUUCAUUAAGACACAUAAUUUACAAGCUUCAAAAUUUAUUCAUUUCGUGGAAAUACCGGUGUAUUGGUCUUGAUAAUGGGAAUUGAAGUAUUAAACGUAUAGAUUGUUGCUUAUUUUGUUCGGGUUUAUUUUCUAUUCGUAUGGUAAACCUUUUGAUAUUGGGAUUUGCAGGCAGCGAACUAUCUGAAUAUCAAGAGCUUGCUGGACUUGACCUGCCAAACUGUGGCUGAUAUGAUAAAGGGAAAGACACCCGAGGAGAUUCGCAAGACCUUCAACAUCAAGAACGAUUUCACCCCCGAGGAAGAAGAGGAGGUUAGGAGGGAGAAUCAAUGGGCAUUCGAGUGAUAGGAAAGCCUUUAAAUUUAAUGUUGAUAUUAUUAUAGUUUCUAUGCUUUUCUCGCUAGGUUUUCAAGUUGGG